CGCCAGUCUAAAGUAAAGUCUGUUAUGACGUGUUAUUACUACUUCAUUAGGGUCUCAUGACAAAUCGAUUCUAAUAAAUCGCACUUGUUUUAAUUACACGCUUAAUAAUUUAACAUUAACGUAUAUUGUGUCGAUUAUAUAAAAACCCAGUCAAUAAACGAAAAAAUAUUAUAUGCCGUGAUAUACAGGAAAUAUGAAAGUGGUAAUUUUGUGUGUGGCACUUUCAUCUCUGGUUUUAUCAAGCGCAAAUAGAAACCACAAUGGAUUUUUAUGUACCUGCGCACCGGGGCCACUACUAUGUGCAAGCGACUUGCAAACCUACGACGGCGCUUGUAACAUGAGAUGCGCGUCCAUUAAUAAGGGAAUGAAACUGUACAUUUUGUUCUACGGCAGUUGUGAAGACUAUUACAAUAAUUUAAUAUUUAAAAAAAUACCUCAUGUACAGCCUUUCUCUAAUCCAGGCGUAAAACCACAACAGUAAAAUAAAAUAUCAUCAAAUCAUUAAAGACAUU